ACUUGUCGGGACAGCGGUUUUCCUCGGGGCUCAGAUAGAGUUCAUCUCCUCUGCGCACGCAAAGCACCUGUUCGCUUCUCAGGGGAGCAGAAUGCAGAGAUCAGCGAUGAGCAAGAGUGGGGUGGCGAUGAUGGCUUCCAGGCUCCGUCUCCACGACUGGUUGGGGUCCGGCCAAGCUGCUGUCCUCCUCCCGUGAAUUUGCAGCUGUCAGAGCUCAAAAGAUUCAGCUCCCCAAGAAAAAAAGGUGACUGGAUGAAGUGUGCUUGGAAAGGUUUCAACAAUAUAGCAGAACAUACAUCCAGUCAUGGAUUCUUCAAGGUAAAGUCAAUGUGGAUGGAAGAGUUGUGAAUAAAUCUGGGACACAAGUAUCUGACAAAUCAGUCAUUGAAAUUAAGGCUGAAAUCCCAAAAUAUAGCGGGACAUAAGCUUGAGGUAGCUAUCAAAGAAUUUGGUAUUGAUUGUGAUGGAAAGAUAGCCCUUGAUUCGGGAUUAUCCACAGGUGGCUUUACUGACUGUUUACUUCAGCAUGGAGCAUCACAUGUUUAUGGUGUAGAUGUUGGGUAGCUGAAAAAAAUCCGUAUACACAAAUGUGUUUCAGUGAUUGAACGUACAAAAUUGAGAUAUCUUUCUGAAUUGCUACAACCAGUCGACUUGGUGACACUAGACCUGUCAUUUAUCUCGAUUCUUUUGGUUAUGCCUGCUGUUAUCAAAGUAAUGAAGAUGGACUCUACGUUGGUAACGCUUAUCAAGCCUCAAUUUGAAGCUCGUAGAUUACAGGUAGGAAGUGGUGGGAUUCUUCGAGACCUUCUGGUUCAUAAAGAGGUACUGGAUAAUAAUUUCAGGCGUGGAAGAGUUUGGAUUCUGCAAUAAAGGCUGGAUUGAAUCUCCCAUAAAGGGUGCAGAAAGGAACACGGAGUUUCUUGCUUGCUUCCACAGGGUCCCAAUAUCAGAAUGGCAACCAGAAGUAGAGACUAAGGCAGAGAUCGAAGUUACAUGAUAGGGAAUGCUGCAGAAAACCAGUCAAGGAUGAUAUGUCAUCAAUCAGAGCGCACCAUAAAGUAUCUGGAAGCUGCACAUGAACUUAUGCUGGAAAGAUCUGUUGAUAGUGUUCACAAAUAGGUUGAGUAUGGUCAGUGAGAUAUUCGUUAGAGGUAUAAAAUUUUGAGACGCUUAACUCUGAAUGAAGUUUCAGGGGUCCGCUUGCUGUUCCCCGAGGGAGAACAAACACGCAGAGAUGACCAGCCUUUUAUUCAUUGCAGAGCAUCGUCAGCUUAUUGUGAUAUUCAUUGACCGCUCAGUUUCCUACCAAACACUGAUUCGGGCAGUUGUUCAGUUAGCACGAGGUAUACUUGUUCAGUUGGUCAGCCUUUCGUUCAUUUUGCAUGUAAUUUAUUCAGGGGUCUGCAUGAGGUAUGCCCUUCUUGCUCCAGCAAAAUUGUAAAGUUGUUCAGUUGUCUGCAUGAGGUAUGCCCUUCUGAUCGAAUUUGGAGGCCAUGGCUCCUACUCGUGCACGCUGGACGCAUGCACAAACCCAAUACACUGAUUCUCUGUAACAGUAUACCAAAGUAAUUAAUCACAUUCAGAGUCAUGCGCCUCAAUAAAUUUGAAAUUUACAGACUGCUUCUGGGCUCAUCUACCGUGCCAUUGAAAAUUUAGAAACCUAGAUCUCCUACUAAGGUGUUUCCAUCCUAGAUUAUAUAAGUUGGAUUAUGAUUUAAGGGUAAAAGAUUAUUAUGGGACCACUAUGGGAGCACAUAUAAUCUAAAAUAAGAUAGUUUUAUUUUAGAUUAUAUGUGGUCCCAGUGCGAUCCCAAAGUGAUCUUUUGUAGUACCCAUAAGACAUAAUCUAUAGGGCGUGUUUGUUUCAGCUUAUCUGUGAAUUGAUUUUUCAAGAAGCUUGAUGGUACAAAAAUCUGCUUCCUCAAGAAUUGCUGGCAGGAGAAGCAAAGCGUUUGGCAUUGUCGAUUUUUUUUCAGAGAGCCUCGUCCCCGACGCUUCAGCAGGGGAGCUUCAGCAGAGGAGCUGGUGGCGUGCCGACGACGUCGGAGCUGGGGGCCGAGAGAGGGAGUGCCGGCCGGAGCGGGGAGCGACGACCGGAUCUGGGGGGGCCGGAGCGGGGAGCGCCGGCCGGAGCUGCAGGUCACGCGAGGGAGCUGGGGGCCGGAGCGGGGAGCGCCGGUCGGAGCUGGGGGCCGCGCGAGGGAGUGCCGACCGGAGCUGGGGGUUGGAGCGGGGAGCGCCGACCGGAGCUGCGGGUCGCGCGAGGGAGCUGGGGCCGGAGCAGGCGGAGGCGGCGGAGGUUAGUGGGCACGGAGGGGUCGUCGGCGGGGCCUCCGGCGGCGGCGCGCGGACCGGCCAGGAGGGGCCGGCGGCGGGGCGCGGACCAGCCAGCGGCGGACGAGCGGGAUGGUGUGGGGAAGACGGGCGGUCGCGCUCGGGUGCGGGAAUCGAGUGAAUUUUCCCGCAAGUGCCUCCGCGCCCGAUUCUCCCGAUUGUCGGUCUCGCGUUUUCAUAAUAUUUUUUACACUAUUUGCAUACUAAUUUAAUAUCAGUUUUGUUGCACAA